AUGCUUACCUACCGGAGUUCGUCCGACGCGUCCUCGUGGAUGGCGAAUAGAAACAAAAAACCAGAGGAAUUGUUGUUGUUUCUGCGGAUUCAAAGUUGUUGUUGCGGAUUUGAUGAAGAUGGAAGUGUCAUGUUGAUGUUGUUGCAGAUGCAGAGAGUUGUCGUUGAAGUUGCGGAUGCAAGGCGGUUGCAGAAACGAUGA